GAGGUGGACAGGGAGAGGCCUGAGGAAUGGCUCCUCUGUUUACAACACACCCAACAGGAAGCUGCGGUCAUUGUGACAAGAGGCACAAAACUUGUGGCCUCCCUACGAGCAAAUGCCCUACACUU
rnacentral:snoRNA from 1 species